rnacentral:rRNA from 1 species
AAUGAACGCUGGCGGCGUGCCUAACACAUGCAAGUCGUACGAGAAAGGGGCUUCGGCCCUGAGUAGAGUGGCGCACGGGUGAGUAACGCGUGGGUAAUCUACCCUUGGAUUUGGGAUAACUCUGCGAAAGUGGAGCUAAUACCGGAUAGUCUGGCUUUUAAUAGAAGUCGGUAAAGGAUGCCUCUGCAUAUGCAUUCGUCCGAGGAUGAGCCCGCGUCUCAUUAGCUAGUUGGUAGGGUAAUGGCCUACCAAGGCAACGAUGAGUAGCUGGUCUGAGAGGAUGAUCAGCCACACUGGAACUGAAACGCGGUCCAGACUCCUACGGGAGGCAGCAGUGGGGAAUAUUGCGCAAUGGGCGAAAGCCUGACGCAGCAACGCCGUGUGAGGGAUGAAGGCUUUCGGGUCGUAAACCUCUGUCGGAAGGGAAGAACGGGCAUUAGUCUAAUAGGCCUUUGUUUUGACGGUACCUUUAGAGGAAGCACCGGCUAACUCCGUGCCAGCAGCCGCGGUAAUAC